rnacentral:rRNA from 1 species
AUUGAACGCUGGCGGCAGGCCUAACACAUGCAAGUCGAACGAGUGGAGGACGGGUGAGACAUGUCUGGGAAACUGCCAGAUGGAGGGGGUUAACUACUGGAAACGGUAGCUAAUACCGCAUACCAUCAGCUGUGCCCAGAUGGGAUUCGCUUGUUGGUAGGGUAAAGGCUCACCAAGGAUACGAUCCGUAACUGGUCUGAGAGGAUGAUCGGUCACAUUGGAACUGAGACACGGUCCAGACUCCUACGGGAGGCAGCAGUGGGGAAUAUUGGACAAUGGGCGAAAGCCUGAUCCAGCCAUGCCGCGUGUGUGAAGAAGGUCUUCGGAUUGUAAAGCACUUUUAUUUGGGAAGCGUUACCUACAGAAUAAGCACCGGCUAACUUCGUGCCAGCAGCCGCGGUAAUUC